UUUAAAAUCUGGCGUCUUUCAGGCGUCCGAGUUGUAAUCUAUAGAGGCGUUUUCCGCGCCGGACCGCGUCCAAGUCUCUUGGAAUAGAGUAUCAAAGAGGGUGACAAUCCCGUACUUGACGCGACAACCGGUGCUCUGUGAUACGUUCUCAAUGAGUCGAGUUGUUUGGGAAUGCAGCUCUAAAUGGGUGGUAAAUUCCAUCUAAGGCUAAAUAUUGGCGAGAGACCGAUAGCGAACAAGUACCGUGAGGGAAAGAUGAAAAGCACUUUGGAAAGAGAGUUAAACAGCACGUGAAAUUGUUAAAAGGGAAACGAUUGAAGUCAGUCGUGUGAAAGGUAUUCAGCCGUCUCUGGCGGUGUAUUUGCCUUUCACGGGUCAACAUCAGUUUGAUCCGGUAGAAAAAGGCGGGAGGAAGGUGGCACCCUCGGGUGUGUUAUAGCCUCCUGUCAUAUGUGCCGGACCAGACUGAGGAACGCAGCUUGCCGCAAGGCCGGGGUUCGCCCACGUACAAGCUUAGGAUGUUGACAUAAUGGCUUUAAACGACCCGUCUUG
rnacentral:rRNA from 1 species